GUUCUCGCUCUCAGCCUCGCCUCAGGAUCGGCAAGCAGGUGGAGACUCACCGACAACCUUCCAGGUGAGUGUCUGCUCACUCCAUUGCGUUUGGCAAGUGAACAACAGAGGAGAGUACUGAAAUAUUUGGGAAGAGGAAGCCCUUUCCUAAUAUAUGGAUGUUGACCGAACAUUGUAAAGUAGCAUUGGACUCUACCGGAAAGAUGUGAUGGCAAAUACAGAGACUGCUACGGGAAACUGUCCUUAGGCAGAAUUGAAGCAAUAAAAUGGAAGCACAAAGGCCUGU